UGCCGGACCUGACUGCUAUCGGAUUGAUACUAAGCCAUGCGAGUCAUUGUAGCAAUACAAGGCAUACGGCUCAGUAACGCGUAGUCAAUCUAACCUAUGGACGGGGAUAACCUCGGGAAACUGAGAAUAAUACCCGAUAGAACAUUAUGCCUGGAAUGGUUUAUGUUUCAAAUAAUUUAUUGCCGUAGGAUGGGACUGCGGCCUAUCAGUUUGUUGGUGAGGUAAUGGCCCACCAAGACUAUUACAGGUACGGGCUCUGAGAGGAGUAGCCCGGAGAUGGGUACUGAGACACGGACCCAGGCCCUAUGGGGCGCAGCAGGCGAGAAAACUUUGCAAUGUGCGAAAGCACGACAAGGUUAAUCCGAGUGGUUUCUGCUAAAGGAACCUUUUGUUAGUCAUAGAACCACUAAUGAAUAAGGGGUGGGCAAGUUCUGGUGUCAGCCGCCGCGGUAAAACCAGCACCUCAAGUGGUCAGGAUGAUUAUUGGGCCUAAAGCAUCCGUAGCCUGCUUUGUAAGUUUUCGGUUAAAUCCAUACGCUUAACGUAUGGGCUGCCGGGAAUACUGCACGGCUAGGGAGUGGGAGAGGUAGACGGUACUCGGGAGGAAGUGGUAAAAUGCUUUGAUCUCUCGAUGACCACCUGUGGCGAAGGCGGUCUACCAGAACACGUCCGACGGUGAGGGAUGAAAGCUGGGGGAGCAAACCGGAUUAGAUACCCGGGUAG
rnacentral:rRNA from 1 species